rnacentral:lncRNA from 1 species
AAGUGCUUCGGUCAGUCAGUAUCUUUGAAAAUAAUUUGGCCAAUGAAAGCCCUGGUGUUGGAUGAAAGUACUAGCUGCUGGGAAUGCUACCCCUCCUUUUGGUUCUCCUUCAAGUCCUUCAAGUUCAAACAAUACAGAAGUGUAUAAAGUAAGAAUUGAAAGUCUCUUCGCUGCUCUAAUCUCACUCCUCAGAGGUGAUCACUGGACCUGAGUAAGCAGAAGGCUUUUCAGAAUUACAGCCUGAACUAUUUCUUGAGCAAUUUGGGAACUCAUUUCUAAAGCAGUCCUCAGAUUCACACAACAUAGUUUGUGACGGGGUAUGCCCAGAGCAGUGUGGAAGAUGAUCAAAGUAUGACAUUUCUUCUACCCUAGAGGUUGGCAUUUCUGCAGGCACAAAUGAGCUUGGUUUUCAAGCACCAGUCUUUGAACACAAGGAAUUCUUUUAAUGAUCACGCCGGACUAUAUAGACUUUGGAAUCAGACUCUUUGAAUUCCAGCUCUGCCAUUUACCAACUUUGACACUUUGGGGUUUUGGAAAUCUGGAUUGUAGCGGGGCAUUGUGGAUCUGCCUGUUGGCGGAGAACCCUAGAAUGCAUGCAACCAUGCACAUCAUCUGGAGACACAGCAGAGACAAGGUCUUUGUCUGUUGCUCAGGAUGGAGUGUAGUGGUGCCAUAGCUCACUGUAAUCUUGAAUUUCUGGGCUACUGGCAUACACUACCAUGCUUGGGUUCGGGCCACAACAUCCGUGAGUUUAGCGGUUUUGGUCUCUUCCUUGUGACCUUCGGCUCUAGGAUGCUGCACAGCUCCUCUCUGCACUAUCUAUCAGAAUGUUGCUCUGCGUGCUUGAAAGUUUCCCCAAACAGAGGUACAUAAAAACAAACAGAGGUGAAACACAAAUCCCCUCAGCCCUGGAGGAAAAGGCCUUGAAGCUCUUCCAGUGCAGAGGCCACGCAGAGGACGUACUCCUACCUGUGCACAUCAGCCAUGCCUGGGGAGCCUCCUGGGGUCCAGGCUGCUGGUGAUGGAAUCCAUCAUGUUGCUGAUGUCACU